rnacentral:lncRNA from 10 species
UUUUCUGGUCUACCCCUUCCAGGCAAGCCUGGCUGCUAGGAGUCUGGGCUGCUCAGAGAGGACACCAGAGUUCCCGGGCUGCCGUGUGGGGAGGCCCCAAAGCCAAACACCUCCCUUGCGCUUUUGUCUCUUCCACAUGCCUCCUUCCGAGCCUCAACACAUAAUGGGUGGCUCACAAGCAAAACUCCACAGGGCUAGAAGCCAACAUAAAUCUGGAAGCAUCGAGAUCAGCCUGGCCAACAUGGUGAAACCCUGUCUCUACUAAAAAUACGAAAAUUAGCCAAAUACAAAAAAUUAGCCGAGCAGGGUGGUGUGCACCUGUAAUCUCAGCUAUCAGGAGGCUGCGGCAGGAGAAUCGCUUGAACCCAGGAGGCUGGAGUGCAGUGGUGCAAUCAUAGCUCACUGCAGCCUUGAACUCCUGGGCUCAAGAGAUCCUCCCGCCUCAGCUGCCCAAGUAGCUGGGACCACAGGUGUGCCAACACCAUGCCUGCCUAGUUGAAUUUUUAUUUUUGCAGAGACAGGGGUCCUCGCUUUGUUGCCCAGGUUGGUCUCAAACUCCUGGCCUCAAGCGAUCCUCCCGUGUUAGCCUCCCAAAGUGCUGGGCUUACAGAUGUGAGCCACCUCACUGGGCAAAGAGUUGGUUUUUGACGUGAAAUCUUCUGGCUUUUUGGAAAUCGAAAAGGACAAGAAGAGAAGGCCGCAGGCCGAGCACAGUGGCUCAUGCCUGUAAUCCCAGCACUCUGGGAGGUCGAGGUGGGUGGAUCACUUGAGGUCAGGGGUUUGAGACCAGCCUGGCAAACAUGGUGAAACCCCAUCUCUACUAAAAAUACAAAAAAUUAACUGGGCGUGGUGGCGUGUGCCUGUAAUCCCAGCUACUCGGGAGGCUGAGGCAUGAGAAUUGCUUGAACCUGGGAGGGGAGGUUGCAGUGAGCUGAGAUUGUACCACUGGACUCCAGCCUGGGUGACAAGAGCAAAACUCUGUCUC